rnacentral:lncRNA from 1 species
AUUUGUUUAUAAACAUAAGAAAAUUGUGAAAAUAUUCUGACUAGUAGCUUGAAAAGAUUUUGGUGCAAAUUGCAGACAACAAUGGCAAGGCAUUCCAAAAUAAUAUUUUUAUUUCACAUUUUAAAAAUAUCUCAUUCUACCUAUGACAUCAAAACAAUAAAGAAACAAAUAAAAGUGUUAUUUUACUUGAAAUUUCAUAAUUAAAGCAUAAAAACUUAGUUAAAAGUAUUGAACGCUUACUUUUGUAAUUCUAUAGGGUUGUAAAUGUUUUUGUCUUGUGUGCAAAUUUGUAAGUAUGAAGCACUUAAAUCAAAAUAUGCUUAGUCAAUGCUUUUACUCAAUACAAUUAUAUUCUUAAGAACUGUUAAUUCAGAAAUUAAUAAGGGUUAAUGCGAAUAAUGCGACUAGGUUUGUGUUUGUAUGGCAAGCAUUAGAACUCACAUUCUGAUAUAUAUAAAUGUGUGGUCCUGAAUAUUCAGUUAUUAAUUCCACAUUUUUG